AGUGAACGCUGGCGGUAGGCCUAACACAUGCAAGUCGAACGGCAGCACAGUAAGAGCUUGCUCUUACGGGUGGCGAGUGGCGGACGGGUGAGGAAUACAUCGGAAUCUACUUUUUCGUGGGGGAUAACGUAGGGAAACUUACGCUAAUACCGCAUACGACCUACGGGUGAAAGCAGGGGAUCUUCGGACCUUGCGCGAUUAAUGAGCCGAUGUCGGAUUAGCUAGUUGGCGGGGUAAAGGCCCACCAAGGCGACGAUCCGUAGCUGGUCUGAGAGGAUGAUCAGCCACACUGGAACUGAGACACGGUCCAGACUCCUACGGGAGGCAGCAGUGGGGAAUAUUGGACAAUGGGCGCAAGCCUGAUCCAGCCAUACCGCGUGGGUGAAGAAGGCCUUCGGGUUGUAAAGCCCUUUUGUUGGGAAAGAAAAGCAGCAGGUUAAUACCCCGCUGUUCUGACGGUACCCAAAGAAUAAGCACCGGCUAACUUCGU
rnacentral:rRNA from 1 species